CGUGUAGGCGGAGGAGCAAGUCAGAUGUGAAAUCCCGGGGCUUAACCCCGGAACUGCAUUUGAAACUGUUCCCCUCGAGUAUCGGAGAGGCAAGCGGAAUUCCUAGUGUAGCGGUGAAAUGCGUAGAGAUGGGGAGGAACACCAGUGGCGAAGGCGGCCUGCUGGGCUUUAACUGACGCUGAGGCACGAAAGCGUGGGUAGCAAACA
rnacentral:rRNA from 1 species